GCUUCCAUACGGAGGAGUGAUUUGAUUCAGAUUGAAGGAACUAAAAGAGCCAGGGGCCGACUUAAAAUGACCUUAGGAGAAGUGGUAAGGAAAGACAUGCAUAGCUUAGGCCUUGUAUCAAGUAUAAUCUCGAACAGAGCUGAUUGAAGGACAAGAAUCUAUUUA